rnacentral:rRNA from 1 species
AUCCAGCAUGCCGCGUGUGUGAAGAAGGCCUUCGGGUUGUAAAGCACUUUUGUCCGGAAAGAAAAUGCCCUGGCUAAUAUCCGGGGUAGAUGACGGUACCGGAAGAAUAAGCACCGGCUAACUACGUGCCAGCAGCCGCGGUAAUACGUAGGGUGCGAGCGUUAAUCGGAAUUACUGGGCGUAAAGCGUGCGCAGGCGGUUUUGUAAGACAGGCGUGAAAUCCCCGGGCUUAACCUGGGAAUUGCGCUUGUGACUGCAAGGCUAGAGUGCGUCAGAGGGGGGUAGAAUUCCACGUGUAGCAGUGAAAUGCGUAGAGAUGUGGAGGAAUACCGAUGGCGAAGGCAGCCCCCUGGGACGUGACUGACGCUCAUGCACGAAAGCGUGGGGAGCAAACAGGAUUAGAUACCCUGGUAGUCCACGCCCUAAACGAUGUCAACUAGUUGUUGGGAAUUCAUUUUCUCAGUAACGUAGCUAACGCGUGAAGUUGACCGCCUGGGGAGUACGGUCGCAAGAUUAAAACUCAAAUGAAAUUGACGGA